AACGAACGCUGGCGGCAGGCCUAACACAUGCAAGUCGAACGCCCUGGCAACAGGGAGUGGCAGACGGGUGAGUAACGCGUGGGAACGUGCCCUUCGGUUCGGAAUAACUCAGGGAAACUUGAGCUAAUACCGGAUACGUGCGAGAGCAGAAAGAUUUAUCGCCGAAGGAUCGGCCCGCGUCCGGUUAGCUAGUUGGUGAGGUAGCGGCUCACCAAGGCGACGAUCGGUAGCUGGUCUGAAGGGACGAACAGCCACACUGGGACUGGUACACGGCCCAGAGUCAUACGGGGGGCAGCAGUGGGGAAUAUGGGACAAUGGGCGCAAGCCUGAUCCAGCCAUGCCGCGUGAGUGAUGAAGGCCCUAGGGUUGUAAAGCUCUUUCGCCAGGGACGAUAAUGACGGUACCUGGAUAAGAAGCCCCGGCUAACUUCGUGCCAGCCGCCGCAGUAA
rnacentral:rRNA from 1 species